UAGGGAAUCUUCCGCAAUGGACGCAAGUCUGACGGAGCAACGCCGCGUGAGUGAAGAAGGAUUUCGGUUCGUAAAACUCUGUUGUUAGAGAAGAACAGCGCAUAGAGUAACUGUUAUGCGUGUGACGGUAUCUAACCAGAAAGCCACGGCUAACUACGUGCCAGCAGCCGCGGUAAUACGUAGGUGGCAAGCGUUGUCCGGAUUUAUUGGGCGUAAAGCGAGCGCAGGCGGUCAAUUAAGUCUGAUGUGAAAGCCCCCGGCUCAACCGGGGAGGGUCAUUGGAAACUGGUUGACUUGAGUGCAGAAGAGGAGAGUGGAAUUCCAUGUGUAGCGGUGAAAUGCGUAGAUAUAUGGAGGAACACCAGUGGCGAAGGCGACACUCUGGUCUGUAACUGACGAUGAGGUUCGAAAGCGUGGGUAGCAAACAGG
rnacentral:rRNA from 1 species